UCCAAAGGAUCCACCUAAAGAAAACACCCCUUCAACGCCCAAAAAAUCUCCACCAAAACCUGCGAGUCCAAAACCAAAGCCACCAACCUCGUCACCACCUGUGGCCUCACCUCCACCACCAAAAGCCUCACCUCCCCCACCACCACCUGCAGCCUCACCACCACAACCUCUCGUCCGAUCUCCACCACCUCCAGUCCACUCACCACCACCACCAGUGGCCUUACCUCCACCUUCCGUCCACUCACCACCACCACCACCACCAGUGGCUUCACCACCGCCUCCGAUAGCGUCACCACCACCACCACCAGUGGCCUUACCUCCACCUCCCGUCCACUCACCACCACCACCACCACCAGUGGCUUCACCACCGCCUCCGAUAGCGUCACCUCCACCUCCCGUUCACUCACCACCGCCACCAGAGGCCUCACCUCCACCUCCAGUCCGCUCACAGCCACCACCACCAGUGGCUUCACCACCGCCUCCGGUGGCAUCACCUCCACCUCCCGUUCACUCGCCACCGCCACCAGUAGCCUCACCUCCACCUCCUCCAGUAUUCUCUCCGCCACCACCUAUCCACUCACCACCCCCACCCCCGCCUGUAGCCUCACCUCCACCUCCACCCACUUAUGAGGAUGUUGCUCUUCCUCCGUCAUUGGGCUCGCUAUAUGCAUCACCGCCGCCACCAAUUUUCCAAGGUUAUUAAGGGGUUCCACCAUUCUUAUUUUCAGUGGCACGAUAACUAGUUCAAAGAAUAUGUACAAAUCAAUCUGUAAACAUAUAUGAUCAUUGAAAAGUUCGUUUACAUUGCCAAUUUCAACGAUUCAUUGAGCUUUGUACAUUGUACACCAGAAAAUAUUGGAAAAUUUUUUCUUGGAUGUGCUGAUUGAACAAAAC
rnacentral:lncRNA from 1 species